rnacentral:rRNA from 1 species
GAUGAACGCUAGCGGGAGGCCUAACACAUGCAAGCCGAGCGGGAUUUGUUGGUUAGCUUGCUAACUAACAAUGAGAGCGGCGUACGGGUGCGUAGCACGUGUGCAACCUGCCUUUAUCUGGGGGAUAGCCUUUCGAAAGGAAGAUUAAUACCCCAUAACAUAUUGAUUGGCAUCAGUUAAUAUUGAAAGCUCCGGCGGAUAGAGAUGGGCACGCGUAAGAUUAGCUAGUUGGUGAGGUAACGGCUCACCAAGGCUGCGAUCUUUAGGGGGCCUGAGAGGGUGAUCCCCCACACUGGUACUGAGACACGGACCAGACUCCUACGGGAGGCAGCAGUGAGGAAUAUUGGACAAUGGGUGAGAGCCUGAUCCAGCCAUCCCGCGUGAAGGACUAAGGACCUAUGGUUUGUAAACUUCUUUUAUACAGAGAUAAACCUACUCUCGUGAGGGUAGCUGAAGGUACUGUAUGAAUAAGCACCGGCUAACUCCGUG